rnacentral:misc_RNA from 1 species
GAUGAAGAACGUAGCAAAAUGCGAUAAGUAAUGUGAAUUGCAGAAUUCAGUGAAUCAUCGAAUCUUUGAACGCACAUUGCGCCCGCCAGUAUUCUGGCGGGCAUGCCUGUUCGAGCGUCAUUUCAACCCUCAAGCCCUCGGGUUUGGUGUUGGGGAUCGGCGAGCCUUUCUGGCAAGCCGGCCCCGAAAUCUAGUGGCGGGCUCGCUGCAGCCUCCAUUGCGUAGUAGUAAAACCCUCGCAACUGGAACGCGGCGCGGCCAAGCCGUUAAACCCCCAACUUCUGAAUGUUGACCUCGGAUCAGGUAGGAAUACCCGCUGAACUUAAGCAUAUCAAUAAGCGGAGGA